rnacentral:lncRNA from 1 species
GGCUGGCAGGGUAAGGGAGUGGGUUUGAGGUGCUGGCUGUAGGCGAAGGCUGUGGGAACACAACAGUGGUGUGGGCUGGGGGUGCAGACCUCAGGGCAAGUGACCUCCCAUAUCUCUCUCUUUCCCAGGUGAUCUCUGAGAGGCUGUUCUCCUCCCCAGCAUCCCACUCUCCCACCAGGGGAUGCCAGUCAGGGGAGGGAGCAGUCUCCCCUCCAGAGCAGAGUGCAGCAGAGAAGCUCCCAGCCCCUGAUUCCCAGCACCCACAGCUGCUGCAGCUGGCGGUUCAGCUGCUAGAGGAGGCGGAGGAAUCAGAUGGCACUGAAUUCGAGGAGGAUCCACUGCUGGAGGUGCUGCGGGGCCAGCGGGAGGAUCUGUGCAGCCAGCUCCGGGCCGUCGACAUCGCAGUGUCCAGGCUCAUGUCUCAGGGCUUGGCUGAGCCACUCGGCUGCCCCCGCUGACGGUCUCUGGGUCUCCCUCCCUCCUGGCCCUGCUCUGUCUGGAAUCGGCCUGGGGGGGCUGUUAACAAUAUUCUGAGCCGGGGUGACUAGCUGUGAGUCCACGUGCCCCCAUCUCAGGGCCGAGUCAGCCCAGAGCCAGAGCGCGACAAUGUGGUUUAACCUGCGGGUUCCAGCUUCCUGCGCUGGGCGGCCCGAGGCAGUGCAGAGUCACAGCUCUGCCAGAGCCCCCAGGCCCCACGCUGGAGCCCCCCGGACUCCCGGACACGGGCUCUGAGCCCCCACAGGCCCGCAGCACGGACAGUCUGGACAGGACAGGGGAUGGGCCGCUCCGCCCUCUGGGGAACACAGCCGCCACUGUCAAGGGAAAAGCCCCCAAGAGGGCUCCUGGUGCUGAGAUGUUUUCACCUGCCGCUGUGCGGUGCAGGGAUGUAGCAGAGAAUGGCCCAUGCGGAUGCCUGGCUCUUGCUCAAUCAAAUGGGAUUAUUUAUAGUUGGAUACCACGACAUGUUGGGGUAAUCUGUGCUUUGAGGGGUACCAUGAGGGGAUCGGGGUAUCCAGUGC